UACGUAGGGACCAAGCGUUGUUCGGAUUUACUGGGCGUAAAGGGCGCGUAGGCGGCUUUGCAAGCCGGAUGUGAAAUCCCCGGGCUUAACCUGGGAACUGCAUUCGGGACUGCAUUGCUAGAGUAUGGGAGAGGGAAGUGGAAUUUCAGGUGUAGCGGUGAAAUGCGUAGAUAUCUGAAGGAACAUCAGUGGCGAAAGCGACUUCCUGGACCAAUACUGACGCUCAUGUGCGAAAGCGUGGGGAGCAAACAGG
rnacentral:rRNA from 1 species